UCCAGGAUGGUGCUGAACUCGAUGAGGC
rnacentral:piRNA from 1 species